UCAAGUUAUAUAGGGCAUACGGUGGAUGCCUAGGCGCCAAGAGCCGAAGAAGGACGCGGUAAGCUGCGAAAAGUCAUGGGGAGCCGCAAGCAGGCCCUGAUCCAUGAGUCUCCGAAUGGGGGAACCCAAUGGUGGUCAUGCACCAUUACCUAACUUAGGUUAGGGGGGCACCCGGGGAACUGAAACAUCUAAGUACCUGGAGGAAAAGUAAUCAAAUGACGCAGCCGCAAGGCUGCUAAUGCUGGAGGCCCCCAAAGGGCCAACAGUGCGAGAUUCCCUAAGUAGCGGCGAGCGAACGGGGAAGAGCCCAAACCUGUUUGGAUGUUGGAGAUUAGACAUUGGACAUUGGAUAAAAGGAACGUAAAAUAUUCUUAGACUUCCAACAUCUAAAAUCUAACAUCCAACAUCCAAACAGGGGUUGAGGACUGACAACAAUCAAAUCAGGCUUAGCCGAAUCAUCUGGAAAGAUGAGUCGCAGAAGGUAACAACCCUGUAGGCGAAAAGCAGAGUUUGAGGGUCAGAAUCCAGAGUACCACGGGACACGAGGAACCCUGUGGGAAGCAGGGGGGACCACCCUCCAAGGCAAAAUACUCGUGGCGACCGAUAGCGCAUAGUACCGUGAGGGAAAGGUGAAAAGCACCCCGGGAGGGGAGUGAAAAAGAACCUGAAACCGUAUGCCUACAAGCAGUCGAAGGCCCGUAUGAGGCUGACGGCGUGCCUAUUGAAGAAUGAACCGGCGAGUUACAGUAUCCAGCAAGGUUAAGUGGAAAACACGGAGCCGAAGCGAAAGCGAGUCUAAAGAGGGCGAAAGUUGGAUAUUGUAGACCCGAAACCGCAGUGAUCUAUCCAUGGCCAGGUUGAAGCGCAGGUAAAAAUGCGUGGAGGACCGAACCCGUGAGCGUUGAAAAGCUUUGGGAUGAGUUGUGGAUAGGGGUGAAAUGCCAAUCGAACGCGGAGAUAGCUGGUUCUCCCCGAAAUAGCUUUAGGGCUAGCCUCAGGAAAUAAGUACAGACGGUAGAGCACUGAUAGGGCUAGGGGCCUAAUGGGUUACUGAACCUUGUCAAACUACGAAUGGAUGUACUCGAACCCUGGGAGUCAGACUACGAGUGAUAAGACCCGUGGUCAAGAGGGAAACAGCCCAGACCAUCAGCUAAGGUCCCGAAUGCCGUACUAAGUGGCAAAGGAUGUGGAGAUACAAAAACAACCAGGAUGUUGGCUUAGAAGCAGCCACCAUUGAAAGAGUGCGUAAUAGCUCACUGGUCGAGUGUCGCUGCGCCGAAGAUGUCCGGGGCUAAAGUACGGAACCGAAGCUAUGGCAUUCCUAACGGAAUGGGUAGGGGAGCGUUCUAUACACGAAGAAGGUAUACCGUAAGGAGUGCUGGAGAGUAUAGAAGUGAGAAUGCCGGUAUGAGUAGCGAAAAGACAAGUGAGAAUCUUGUCCACCGAAAGCCUAAGGAUUUCUGAGGAAGGAUCGUCCGCUCAGAGUUAGUCGGGCCCUAAGCCGAGGCGAAAAGCGUAGGCGAUGGACAACUGGUAAAAAGUCCAGUACCACCUGGAAUCGAUUGAGCGAGGGAGUGACACAGGAGGGUAGGCAAGCGCGAGGAUGGAAAUUCGCGUCUAAGCUUGUAGGGUGCAUCACAGGCAAAUCCGUGAUGCUAAAACCUGAGGAGUGAUGGGCAGCUGUUAGAGAUAAUGGCGAAAUUGCUGAUCCCAGACUGUCAAGAAAAGCUUCUAGUGAGAGACCAGGUGCCCGUACCGUAAACCGACACAGGUAGGCGGGGAGAGAAUCCUAAGGUGCGCGGGAGAACCCUCGUUAAGGAACUCGGCAAAAUGUCCCCGUAACUUCGGGAAAAGGGGAGCUUGUAAACCGUGUAGAUCAGAAGCGAACGAAGCGGGAAUGAGUUGCAAAAAAGAGGCCCAAGCGACUGUUUACCACAAACACAGGUGCCUGCUAAAGCGAAAGCUGACGUAUAGGUGCUGACACCUGCCCGGUGCCGGAAGGUUAAGAGGAGAGCUUAGAGCAAUCGAAGGUUUGAAUUGAAGCCCCGGUAAACGGCGGCCGUAACUAUAACGGUCCUAAGGUAGCGAAAUUCCUUGUCGGGUAAGUUCCGACCCGCACGAAAGGUGUAACGACUUGGGCACUGUCUCAACGAGGGACCCGGUGAAAUUGAAAUACCUGUGAAGAUGCAGGUUACCCGCGACUGGACAGAAAGACCCCAUGGAGCUUUACUGCAACCUGACAUUGAGUUUUGGUAAAUGAUGUACAGGAUAGGUGGGAGACAGGGAAGUAUGGACGCAAGUCUGUAUGGAGUCGAUGUUGGGAUACCACCCUUUAUUUACUGGAGUUCUAACUCAAGGAGUAACGAAACUGAGGACAGUGUCAGGCGGGCAGUUUGACUGGGGCGGUCGCCUCCGAAAGAGUAACGGAGGCGCCCAAAGGUUCCCUCAGCGCGGCUGGAAAUCGCGCGAAGAGUGUAAAGGCAGAAGGGAGCUUGACUGCAAGACAGACAAGUCGAGCAGGGACGAAAGUCGGGCUUAGUGAUCCGGUGGUACCGAGUGGAAGGGCCAUCGCUCAACGGAUAAAAGCUACCCUGGGGAUAACAGGCUAAUCUCUCCCAAGAGUCCAUAUCGACGGGGAGGUUUGGCACCUCGAUGUCGGCUCAUCACAUCCUGGGGCUGAAGUAGGUCCCAAGGGUUGGGCUGUUCGCCCAUUAAAGUGGUACGUGAGCUGGGUUCAGAACGUCGUGAGACAGUUCGGUCCCUAUCCAUCGCGGGCGUAAGAGACUUGAAGGGAACUGCUCCUAGUACGAGAGGACCGGAGUGGACGGACCGCUGGUGUACCAGUUAUCCCGCCAGGGGUAGAGCUGGGUAGCUACGUCCGGAAAGGAUAAACGCUGAAAGCAUCUAAGCGUGAAACCAGCCUUAAGAUGAGGUCUGUCAUUCGCAAGAAGUAAGGCCCCUUGAAGAAGACAAGGUAGAUAGGCCAGGAGUGGAAGUGGAGCAAUUCAUGGAGCGGACUGGUACUAAUAGGCCGAGGACUUGACU
rnacentral:rRNA from 1 species